rnacentral:rRNA from 1 species
GGCAGCAGCCGCGGUACACCGGCGGCCCGAGUGGUGAUCGUGAUUAUUGGGUCUAAAGGGUCCGUAGCCGGUUUGGGUCAGUCCUCCGGGAAAUCUGAUAGCUCAACUAUUAGGGCUUUCGGGGGAUACUGCCAGACUGGAACCGGGAGAGGUAAGAGGUACUACAGGGGUAGGAGUGAAAUCUUGUAAUCCCUGUGGGACCACCUGUGGCGAAGGCGUCUUACCAGAACGGGUUCGACGGUGAGGGACGAAAGCUGGGGGGCACGAACCGGAUUAGAUACCCGGGUAGUCCCAGCCGUAAACGAUGCUCGCUAGGUGUCAGGCAUGGCGCGACCGUGUCUGGUGCCGCAGGGAAGCCGUGAAGCGAGCCACCUGGGAAGUACGGCCGCAAGGCUGAAACUUAAAGGAAUUGGCGGGGGAGCACAACAACGGGUGGAGCCUUGCGGUUUAAUUGGACUCAACGCCGGACAACUCACCGGGGGCGACAGCAAUAUGUAGGCCAAGCUGAAGACUUUGCCUGAAUCGCUGAGGAGUGGUGGUGCAUGG